UACGUAGGGUGCAAGCGUUGUCCGGAAUUAUUGGGCGUAAAGAGCUCGUAGGCGGCUUGUCGCGUCGGCUGUGAAAACCUGGGGCUCAACCCCGGGCCUGCAGCCGAUACGGGCAAGCUAGAAUUCGGUAGGGGAGACUGGAAUUCCUGGUGUAGCGGUGAAAUGCGCAGAUAUCAGGAGGAACAUCAGUGGCGAAGGCGGCAUCCUGGACCGACACUGACGCUGAGGCGCGAAAGCUAGGGGAGCAAACGGG
rnacentral:rRNA from 1 species